CUCUCCUGGUGUCUUUAGGCCGGAUUUUGSCCNGCCGCGUGCGGUAACCCCCGGGAGACUUCCUUCGGUCCGAUAUCCUCGAGAGGAUGGGGGGACGACGAUUUGUGACACCCAGGCCRACGUGCCCUCGGCCAAAAGGCUUGGGGCCCAACUUGCGUUCAAAGACUCKAUGGUUCACGGGAUUCUGCAAUUCACACCAARUAUCGCUUUUCGCUACGUUCUUCAUCGAUGCSAGAGCCGAGAUAUCCGUUGCCGAAAGUCGUUUUUGACUUUACNUUGCAAAUCUGCUUCCSAACAAACACCGUCUCCGGGUUGGCGAACCCAGGCCGUUUAGUUGAAUGUUCCUUGACACUUUUCGUGCCGGGGUUUGGUCAUCUCCCGAAGCUAUGCGUAUAAACCAACCGAAAC
rnacentral:misc_RNA from 1 species